CACACUCUAGGAACAGCACAGCCAGGAGAGAUGACAGGGCUGCUUGUGGAAAUCAGCUCUCCAUGGAAACCCAUCACUUUCCACCCCGGCCCUUGUCAGCAGAGGAACGAGUAAAUGAGGAGCUGAGCCAAAAGGUUUAGCUGCACACCUAGCAUCAGCAUGAACUGCAAAAGCAACAGAUUUUUACAACUUAAGAAGAUAUUCUGGAUGGAUGGAAGAAAUCAAUUCUCUUUUGAAUGGUGCUUACUACAUUAAGGCCACAUAUCAUGUGUCCACUGAGAUUAGAAACAGAAACUCAC